CCCUGGUUUAGAUCAAAUCAUUCUGUUGCUGAAGAUUCUCAGUCAUCCAGGACAUGAUAAAUACAAAAAAAAAAAUGUUAAAAACAAAGCUAUUCGACUUUAGUUCUUGUAGUUGAAGAUGUUUCGCUCUUCAUUCGGACUUUUUCAAUUCAAAGCUAGUGAGGGAGAAGUUCCAAGCUUUUAAGCUGUUUCACUUCUAAAACAGCACAUCUAAAUUUCGCUGCAGAUUAGACUCCCUUAACAACAGGGGACUGUUAGUGCCAUUGUUAGUCUGGAAUACUGAGAGAUGUUUUAGUCACAUGCAAAAAGGCGUGAAUUGAUUUGAAACUGGCUGGGCAUCAGUCAGUUUCUAUCUUCUCUUUGCGAAGUUCAAACUUUUCGGUCUUUCAAAUAGUGCCCCUUAUCCUUGAGGUGUAGGUGCACAGCUGAGUUGGAUCCUAAGGAGCUGGCUCCUGGGUUGAGCGAUGCGUCUGUGGACAGGCUGUUUAGUUUCUCCAGUAUGAAGGUUCUGAGCAUUCCUCGCAGCACUGAACUGCAUACACCACACUGUUCAGUUUGUGUUUGAGUAUUUUGUUCUUAGGAUAAAACAACCUCCGUCCGAGAGUUCAGUUAGGUCUGAAAUGCACAGGCAUGCUGUGUUUGGAAAACAUCCUUCUCAGUUUCUCAGAUGCUCCAGCAAUGUCGCGGAUGACAACGUAUUUGGGGGAUGUGUUCGGCUCGAUGGUGUAGAGUUCUGAUGACAGAAGGUUUGCAUUCCAGUAGGUGAUGAGAGUCAAACAGAAGGAUGACUUACAGUCAACAAGAUUCCACCUGUCAGUGUGACAUUUCUGCCUGAAGAGGUAAUGGCUCCACCUGCAAGAAUGAUCCCUCUGCCUUCUCCAGCUGCUUUUCUACAAUCAACAUUAAUACCCCGGAGCCGAGGCUGCAGUGAGAGCAGCACUGAUCCUGCAGCAAUUACUGUUUUCACUAACAUUGUGUAGAUAAAGCUGAUGUUUUUGCUAAAAAAUAUCGUGUGCGAUAGGCGUAUUUUACAGUUGAUAUUUGUGCCCAUUGGGGCCCUACCCACAUGAAUGAGGUGAGCAUUAUGUGUCAAGAUAAUGCUGCAUCAAGCAGCAAACAUCACAGAGCAUCAAUAUCAUUGUAUACCGUGAUUAUUUCCUUUUCACUGCCACACAGCUUGACAAUAUAGAGGAAAGCAUUUUCAUCAUGCAUGUGCCCAUCUUAUCCCAUCGUUACUGCAAUGCCUUCAACUAUAAUAUCCGUACCUCCUCUGCCUCUGUGGAAAGGCGCUAGAAUUAGCAGCUGUUUCGUCACUUUAGGAUUCAGAGAGAGAAAAUUUAGCUGUAACAGUGAUGUUAACAACCAUUAGAUUUUCUUUGAACAUGCUUUCCAGGCGGUUUGAAACUACUAUUGAGAAGACAUAUUACAUGUUGAAAGGACAUUAUAGGCGAUGCAGUGAUGCUGCUGGUGAGUCUUUCUUUUGGCUGUUUUGUGUUAUUACUGUCAUAAUAUCUAAAAUAAAUAUAUUAUUUAGGACCUUAGUUCCACCAGAUACCAUAAAGGAUACAAAUUCAAUGUACUGGAGAAGGUCAAAACGUUCCAGUGAGAGCUGUUUUUUGGUUUCUCUUCAUUGGCUACCUAUAUAGUUAAAGUCAAAAUUAUUGCUUUUUUGUUUUAUUAUUUAUAAAUCUCCUAUUGACCAUUCUUUAUUUGGUUUUGAAGACCUGACAGUGCCAACCUUUUCAACAGAAGACUUUCAGGCUUCCUAAUGCCUAUGCUGUUAUAUCUGUAAGGGAUCUUAAUGAAAUUAACACUAACAGCCAACAAAUAAUACAGUAUUUCUCAUUAAAUGAAGACUGUCCUCUGAAGUGCUGUCUAGUUGCUGUGUGUAUGCAAGUUGUUAAAAUGAGCCCAGGAUAUGAAGGUGUUUAAGCAGUUUAAAUUUAAAAUCUGUGCAUCUACGCCACCACACAAUCUUUUCUGAACAUAUUUUGAAAUUGGAUUUAAACUGCCAGUAUAAGUGUGCCAGCCAUUUUGAAAGGUUGCUAUUCCUUUAGUUGACCACCAGGUGUCCUUGUUCUUAGUUAGACAGAAGGUUUGAAGGGAUGAUUCUUUUGAAAGAAAGCUUCAUGAGGCUUUACCUACUUGUCAAUGCAGAAAAAAUAGAAACGAUUUGUCAAACAACGUGAAAUUACUGUGACUCUAACAACGUUAAGCAAGCAGCUGCUUUGAAGCUUCCAAUUGGUGCUAAAUUAAGGAGCUAUUUCAUAUUGUUGUAAGGAGUCUGGACUGUAUACGUGGACAAUUUUAUUGCAACUGAUAUUGUCAUCACAAUGUUUAACCUACCAUUUUCAACUACCUCCUAAUAUUGUACAGCAUAGUGUCUACCAAUGUCUGUUGUGGGUGUCCGUUUAUUAUGUACCUCAUCACCAGAGUUUAGUAGGUUCUGACAUCUGCCAAGCACAGAACUGCCUUUUCUCACCAGCCUGUUCAGCCAUCUGGUGUGUUGUAACUUUUAGACUGUUUCCACAACACA